UACGAAGGGGGCUAGCGUUGUUCGGAUUUACUGGGCGUAAAGCGCACGUAGGCGGUUUGUUAAGUCAGAGGUGAAAUCCCGGAGCUCAACUCCGGAACUGCCUUUGAUACUGGCAAGCUAGAGUCCGGAAGAGGUAAGUGGAACUCCUAGUGUAGAGGUGGAAUUCGUAGAUAUUAGGAAGAACACCAGUGGCGAAGGCGGCUUACUGGUCCGGAACUGACGCUGAGACGCGAAAGCGUGGGGAGCAAACAGG
rnacentral:rRNA from 1 species